rnacentral:lncRNA from 1 species
GUGAAUACUCAAGUAUUCCUAUUCAAGUGACUGAUAAAAAUUCUUUCGUUUUGGUAGGCAUAAUUUUACAUUUUCCAAACAGGUAAAAUAUUCUGGAAUUUCAAUUUCUUGAAUUUACUUUACUUGUGGAAAUAAAGCUUUGCUGAAAGCCAUACUGCUUGAUACUAUGAUUUUGUUUACAUAUCUCUAGAAAGGAGACAAUUGGAAAUGAUGAUAUCACUGUUUUACAGGUAGCCAACACCCUUGGCUGUGUGAAUUUUGGCUGAGAUGGUGAGGAGUGCUGCCACCCAAGUAUGAUUCCACCGCCAAAUCCAUCGAUGUUUCAUACUGAGAAUGGGUGAACAUGAAGAGUAUGGCAACAAUUCAAGGAAAACAAGUUGAUGAACAUAAAGGUUCACAAAGAAGUUGAGCCACAGGGAUUCGAGAAGUCUGCUCCGUUCAGUUAUCUCAGUGUGGAUGGUGACAUUGCCCAAUGUGUAACGUCAGUAUUGUACAGAGUACUGUACAAGUCAGCAACUAUCUCUGUGAAAACUUACCUGCAGAAGGGGGAUCCUUGUUUCCCAGGGGGUUAAGCCCUACUUCGUCAAGGGAAUAAUUCAGAGGAAAAUUCAGCAGGCUUAUCUGUAGACCUCCUCCUUGACCUCGCUUAGGAAAAAAAGGUAACUGUGGGUGUACAUGUGCAUAUUUAUGUGUGACAGGAAAAGAGACCAGUGAACGAUAAUGUCUAUGGCUUAAUCUGCAGCAGCAAUGAUUUUUUAUUGCCUUGUAGUAAGUAUCUUAUGUCUUGGUAAAAACUUGUUGGUUUAGG